CGGCCGGGGAGCGAGGAGCGGGGAUGCGGUGGUGCCGGGAGCGGGCGGCCGGGCGGCUGCGUCCUCGCUCGCCGCUGAUUUUAAGCUCUGGAAACCUUAGAAGAAGAGGUAACAUGGGCAUCUCUGCAUCAUACCUCCAAUGUUUAUCAGCCCUUUCUGAAUUGCACUGCUGCUCUCUUGAAGGCUUGACAGAAGCUACAUACUGUGUGCCUGAGGAAGGCUUGAACAUCACACCAAAACAAGAACAAUUUCCACUUUCUCACUGCCUGUCUUACAGCAAAGAAGGGAGAUCAAGACCAGUAACCAUACAGGACAAAAUCUGACUAGACUGUACAUUUUCUUACCACCUUGAUGGAAGAAGCGUCAAUGUCAGGAGUCAAAAAGUAUCUAUUAUCCACAUCAUCCAUGGAUAAACAAAGUGCAGAAUAUAUGUGGUGGUUGACUGACAACCCAGAAGUCUGCAGUAGCAUCAUGCUGUGACUG
rnacentral:lncRNA from 1 species